UACGUAUGGGGCGAGCGUUGUUCGGAAUCACUGGGCGUAAAGGGAGUGUAGGCGGAAAUUCAAGUCAGAAGUGUAACCUACGGGCUUAACUCGUAGCUCGCUUUUGAUUACUGUUUUUCUUGAGUAUUGGAGAGGGAGAUGGAAUUCCAGGUGUAGCGGUGGAAUGCGUAGAUAUCUGGAAGAACACCAGUAGCGAAGGCGAUCUCCUGGCCAAAUACUGACGCUGAGGCUCGAAAGCGUGGGGAGCAAACAGGAUUAGAUACCCUUGUA
rnacentral:rRNA from 1 species